rnacentral:rRNA from 1 species
GACGAACGCUGGCGGCGUGCUUAACACAUGCAAGUCGAGCGGAGCGGCGAACGGGUGAGUAACGCGUGAGUAACUGACCCGCUCUCUGGGAUAACAGUUGGAAACGGCUGCUAAUACAGGAUAGUGGGGGAUGACUCGCGUCCUAUCGGCUUGUGGGUGGGGUAGUGGCCUACCAAGGCGACGACGGGUAGCCGGCCUGAGAGGUCGACCGGCCACAUUGGGCUGAGGUACGGCCGAUACUCCUACGGGAGUCAGCGGUGGGUAAUAUUGCACAAUGGGGGAAAUCCUGAUGCAGCAACGCGGGUGUGGGAUGUCGGCCUUCGGGUUGUAAACCGCUUUCAGCCAUGACGCGGUAGUGGCAGAAGAAGCACCGGCUAACUACGUGCCAGCAGCCGCGGUAAUAC